rnacentral:rRNA from 1 species
UAACACGAAGUGAGUGGCGAACGGGUGAGUAACACGUGGGUAACCUGCCCAGAAGUAGGGGAUAACACCUGGAAACAGAUGCUAAUACCGUAUAACAGAGAAAACCGCAUGGUUUUCUUUUAAAAGAUGGCUCUGCUAUCACUUCUGGAUGGACCCGCGGCGUAUUAGCUAGUUGGUGAGGUAAAGGCUCACCAAGGCAGUGAUACGUAGCCGACCUGAGAGGGUAAUCGGCCACAUUGGGACUGAGACACGGCCCAGACUCCUACGGGAGGCAGCAGUAGGGAAUCUUCCACAAUGGACGCAAGUCUGAUGGAGCAACGCCGCGUGAGUGAAGAAGGGUUUCGGCUCGUAAAGCUCUGUUGUUAAAGAAGAACGUGGGUAAGAGUAACUGUUUACCCAGUGACGGUAUUUAACCAGAAAGCCACGGCUAACUACGUGCCAGCAGCCGCGGUAAUACGUAGGUGGCAAGCGUUAUCCGGAUUUAUUGGGCGUAAAGCGAGCGCAGGCGGUCUUUUAAGUCUAAUGUGAAAGCCUUCGGCUCAACCGAAGAAGUGCAUUGGAAACUGGGAGACUUGAGUGCAGAAGAGGACAGUGGAACUCCAUGUGUAGCGGUGAAAUGCGUAGAUAUAUGGAAGAACACCAGUGGCGAAGGCGGCUGUCUGGUCUGCAACUGACGCUGAGGCUCGAAAGCAUGGGUAGCGAACAGGAUUAGAUACCCUGGUAGUCCAUGCCGUAAACGAUGAUUACUAAGUGUUGGAGGGUUUCCGCCCUUCAGUGCUGCAGCUAACGCAUUAAGUAAUCCGCCUGGGGAGUACGACCGCAAGGUUGAAACUCAAAAGAAUUGACGGGGGCCCGCACAAGCGGUGGAGCAUGUGGUUUAAUUCGAAGCUACGCGAAGAACCUUACCAGGUCUUGACAUCUUCUGACAGUCUAAGAGAUUAGAGGUUCCCUUCGGGGACAGAAUGACAGGUGGUGCAUGGUUGUCGUCAGCUCGUGUCGUGAGAUGUUGGGUUAAGUCCCGCAACGAGCGCAACCCUUAUUACUAGUUGCCAGCAUUAAGUUGGGCACUCUAGUGAGACUGCCGGUGACAAACCGGAGGAAGGUGGGGACGACGUCAAAUCAUCAUGCCCCUUAUGACCUGGGCUACACACGUGCUACAAUGGAUGGUACAACGAGUCGCGAGACCGCGAGGUUAAGCUAAUCUCUUAAAACCAUUCUCAGUUCGGACUGUAGGCUGCAACUCGCCUACACGAAGUCGGAAUCGCUAGUAAUCGCGGAUCAGCAUGCCGCGGUGAAUACGUUCCCGGGCCUUGUACACACCGCCCGU